AAACCAUGAUGUGGGCAUGCUCUCAACAUCUCUUUAUAUCUCUCCCAAGCUUCAAACAACGAUUCUCCUUGAUUCUGGGUAAACCUGGUUAUUAGGUUUCGAAGAAC